rnacentral:rRNA from 1 species
AACGAACGCUGGCGGCAGGCUUAACACAUGCAAGUCGAACGGAUCCUUCGGGAUUAGUGGCAGACGGGUGAGUAACGCGUGGGAACGUACCCUUUGCUACGGAAUAACUCAGGGAAACUUGAGCUAAUACCGUAUGUGCCCUACGGGGGAAAGAUUUAUCGGCAAAGGAUCGGCCCGCGUUGGAUUAGCUAGUUGGUGGGGUAAUGGCCUACCAAGGCGACGAUCCAUAGCUGGUCUGAGAGGAUGAUCAGCCACACUGGGACUGAGACACGGCCCAGACUCCUACGGGAGGCAGCAGUGGGGAAUAUUGGACAAUGGGCGCAAGCCUGAUCCAGCCAUGCCGCGUGAGUGAUGAAGGUCUUAGGAUUGUAAAGCUCUUUCACCGGUGAAGAUAAUGACGGUAGCCGGAGAAGAAGCCCCGGCUAACUCCGUG